ensembl:snoRNA SNORA62 Small nucleolar RNA SNORA62/SNORA6 family
UUGGCUAAACACACCUGAUCCUGGUAAUCAGCUGCAGAUAAGGCAGGAUUUCAGGAAAACCAGCAGGAGGCUGGCUCUCCAGGUCUGGAGUUUGACACCCCUGCUUUAAGG